rnacentral:tRNA from 1 species
AAUUAUAUAGUUUAAAAAAACCUUAUAUUUUCAAUAUAAAAUUAAUAAUAUUUAUAUUAUUUAUAAUUA